ensembl:lincRNA
CGCCUCCCACCCGAGCCCCGGCGGCUGAUGCGCGUGAGGCCGAGCUUUUUGCCGGAAGGCACCAUCUUGGAAGCCGCCUUUGCCGCUUGCGCCCAGUGUAAAACUUCUCAACACUUCUAUUACGGAACAAUUAGUACUACUUGCCCGGGGGUGACGUUUUUCAGAUGCGCUGCCAACAGAACGACCUGUGUGAGGGCAUCACGCAAGCAUGACGUUCUGAAAAGAAGUCUGCAGCAAGAGCCCGGGCCCUGCGCAGCCGCCGACCCGCUACCCUGUCGCCCAGGGCAAGCUGGUGCCAGCGCUCCCAGUGUCGCCUGGAUGACAUAACGACAGAGUUCUUUAAAACUGUGUCCUCUUUUUACGAUUUAACCAAAAACUGUGAGACAGCUUUAAUCAGAAAAUAGAUUGCUUAUUGAAUAAAUACAUUAAUCAGGAGUUGAGCUAGUCAUUUUUUAAAAUUUGUAAUGCUUUAACAAAUGCUGUCACCUGUCAAAGCCACUUUUUAUUUUAUUUAUUUACUUUUGGCAGGGAAUCUAAAAGGGUCAUGAACUCUGACCCUGAAAUCAGACAUGCCUGGGUUGCACUCUACUCCAGUAAUUCUGCGAUCAUUGCUGCAAGUUAAUUAAGUUGUCUGUUCCUCAAUUUUCUUAUCUGUAAAAUGGGAAUAAUAUUAAAGUUGUUGAGAUGUUAGAAUUAAAUAAUUCCUGUUAAGAUCUAAGCCCGAUGCCUGGAACAUAGUAAGAAUUUAGUAAUGAAGCUAUUGGAAUUUGUGAAGAGAUCCAUUUUUAAAAAAAAAACAACAAAGCUACUGGUAUCAUUAUGGAGAAUUUUUUACUACAUUUAGCAGUUUUGUCAAUCAAUCUACAUUAUAUAUAAUUUGGUGCUAUCAGAUUUGGAAUAGAUAAUAAAAACUAAUAUUUAGCGAGCAUGCCAAAUUCUGUGAAUGCUCCAAAUGCAUAUGAAGUAUUUGGAACAUGCCUGUGACAGACCAAUUAAUAUCCCUAUUUUAUAAACAUGGUCACUGGAACACAGAGACUUAAGUAACUUGCUCAAGAUCACACCACCACUAAAUGGCAGAGCUAGUAGUUUGGGGAUUCUGACUCCACAACUGAGCUCUUAAUAACUAUACCAGGAGUGGGAAACCUACGUCCUUAAGGCUUCUAGGACCUUUAGUGCAGCCUUUUGACUGCAUCCAAAUUUAUAGAACAAAUUCUUUUAUUUUUACUAAUAUAUUUUUGUCUUUUAUAUUUUUAUUUUAUUUUUAAAAUGAACAUAUUUAAAAUAUCAAAGAAUACAACAAGUUUCAACAAAAUAAUCCUUCCAGAUUGACCAGCACAACUGGAACAUUAGUAAGCCAUAAGGGCUAAAUUGACGGGUGCUACACUCAUGAUUUAGUUCUAACUUCCCCCACCUGACUGGUGCCACUAUCACACGAAGCUGGUAGGUGAGAGUUUAUGGGGGUCUAGUACACCAGUCUCUUAUCAGCUUUUUUUUUUUUUUUUUUUUUUUGAGACAGAGUCUCACUUUGUUGCCCAGGCUAGAGUGAGUGCCGUGGCGUCAGCCUAGCUCACAGCAACCUCAAACUCCUGGGCUCAAGCGAUCCUCCUGCCUCAACCUCCCAAGUAGCUGGGACUACAGGCAUGCACCACCAUGCCCGGCUAAUUUUUUCUAUAUAUAUAUAGUUGGCCAAUUAAUUUCUUUCUAUUUAU